UACGUAGGCAGCAAGCGUUGUUCGGAAUUACUGGGCGUAAAGAGUGUGUAGGCGGUGCUCUAAGUUCGGUGUGAAAUCUCCCGGCUCAACUGGGAGGGUGCGCCGGAAACUGGAGUGCUGGAGCGCGGGAGAGGAAAGCGGAAUUCCUGGUGUAGCGGUGAAAUGCGCAGAUAUCGGGAGGAACACCAAUGGCGAAGGCAGCUCGCUGGGACGGUACUGACGCUGAGACGCGAAAGCGUGGGGAGCAAACAGG
rnacentral:rRNA from 1 species